rnacentral:lncRNA from 1 species
ACUCGCUAGGAAGGCGGCGUCAGCAGCGGCUGCUCACGCUGUGCCCACUCCCGCGCGCGCUGCGCUCCCGCCGCGGGUGGGCUCCUCAGCCCUUGGCUGACGGUGGCCCCAGCCUUGUGGCGACCUCUGUAUCCCACCUUCCCACUGCGGGGGCGUCCCGGCACGUGCAAUCCUUUUUGGGGGUGUUCUUGGUUCCCACGCGCAGCUACUAAGCAGAGGGUACCCAACUUUGCCACCUCACCGGUCGCCCUCUCUCGGCGCGAGCCUGUCCACUCAGCUGCACAACUGGAGACUCCGGCAGACUAGCUGGUCCCCAGCCUGGCGCGCUGCGAGAGGAGGAUAGCUCUGGAGAAGUGGCGGGGUGCAGUGGUGGCGGCUGCCUCGACUUCCCUCGUAGUACACUGAAGAGGACCCUUGGAGCAGCUCCGGGCCCCGGGGCGCUGGAUGACUAGCAGGAGGAACGCGCCCGGCAUCUGAUCCCUCUGCAGACCCCAGGCCCUGGAGCAUAUCAAAGUCUUGCUUCUGGUGAACGUUCCGCCCUGGCAGCUACAGAGAGGAGGCUACUGAACAAAUCACUCCACAUUUGGAAUCCUUUGAAAGCAGCAGUGAUCAGUUCUCUCAGUUUUGGAUGUCAGAAGUUCAAAAUCAAGAAACCAAAGUCACCCCCUCUAAAAAGCUCAUAUCUCUCUUGGGACUGUGACAAAGCUGGAGGUGGAGGCACACACCUGACAUGAUGACAUUUCAAAUGAGACCUGCAGGCAUCUGGUGCUGACUUGCAAUGACCUUUGGGGCCAUCUGGUCACCCCACAGCUAUCCUCUGAGCUUCAAUUCUUGUCCCCAUUAAUAUCUUGAUUGACGUCAUUAGUUUCUAUUAUAUAAAUAAAGAAUGGAUUUCUUGAGGU